UGUUCUUUCUGAUUAACACAGCAACAUUUCCUCCAUGGAGCCAAACUAAAGCACUGAUCAGGGCGUGUAAAGCAGUCAUGGUGUGGAGGCGUUCACCUAAAAUAUGCUUUGUCAUGGUGCGUAAAGUGUGUGAGGAAAUAAGUGAGCAACAUUAAAAUCUGAGAUCUAGAGGAUCUGCAUAUUCGUGUGUCCCUGUGUGUUUACCUCAGCCCACAGUGACUCAUAGUUAUGGUAAUGACUGUAGCAAAUGAAAAGCUCACUCUGGCUGUAGACAGCAGAGAGAGAAACAAGGCAGAAGGCUGAGCUCCUCAUUACCUCCCAGCUGCUGCUUGGCUUGAUGCGCGUCCGGAUGGAGGAAAGCUUGAGGCUCAAACCAUGUAGGAUCCCUCAGUGCUUGGAGCAGGAAUACUGGUUUGGACAUUCAAGUGGGGACAGGUGAUGCAUCACAUGCAACAGAGGCAUGUUGGUCCAGGCAGGUGGAGCCCUGCUGAGGUGGCCCAUGUUAUGUCUCCUCCAGUCAGCUCUGGUUCAAAUAGCUCCCCCUGGUGUUCAUCGGCAGAAUUGAGCAACACUCCAAAUAAAAAGCCUUGCAGGUUUACUGCACAUCUGGAUCAACAGCA